rnacentral:rRNA from 1 species
CGUGUAGGCGGUCAGGUAAGUGGAAUGUGAAAUGCCCCGGCUCACCCGGGGACCGGCAUCCCAAACUGCCUGGCUUGAGUAUGGGAGAGGAUGGAGGAAUUCCUGGUGUAGCGGUGAAAUGCGUAGAUAUCAGGAGGAACACCGGUGGCGAAGGCGUCCAUCUGGCCCAAUACUGACGCUGAGGCGUGAAAGCUAGGGGAGCAAACG